AUCCACCAGGCGCUCCUUGGAAACUCUAUGGGGCAGUUCUACUCUGUCCUAUAGGGUCGCUAUGAGUUGGAAUUGAUACAACAGGUUCGUUCUUUUUUUUUUUUUUUUUUUUGCCAUCAAGUCAAUUCUGACUCAUAGUGACCCUACAGGACAGGGUAGAACUGCCCCAUGGGGUCUCCAAGGAGCAGCUGGUGAAU
rnacentral:pre_miRNA from 1 species